CGGACGGGUGAGUAAUGUCUGGGAAACUGCCUGAUGGAGGGGGAUAACUACUGGAAACGGUAGCUAAUACCGCAUAAUGUCUACGGACCAAAGCAGGGGCUCUUCGGACCUUGCACUAUCGGAUGAACCCAUAUGGGAUUAGCUAGUAGGUGGGGUAAAGGCUCACCUAGGCGACGAUCCCUAGCUGGUCUGAGAGGAUGACCAGCCACACUGGAACUGAGACACGGUCCAGACUCCUACGGGAGGCAGCAUG
rnacentral:rRNA from 1 species